rnacentral:rRNA from 1 species
GACGAACGCUGGCGGCGUGCUUAACACAUGCAAGUCGAACGGAAAGGCCCUGCUUUUGUGGGGUGCUCGAGUGGCGAACGGGUGCGUAACACGUGAGUAACCUGCCCUUGACUUUGGGAUAACUUCAGGAAACUGGGGCUAAUAUCGGAUAGGAGAUCCCGCUGCGUGGUGGGGGUUGGAACGUUUCGGCGGUUGGGGAUGGACGGGCGGAUUAUCAGCUUGUUGGUGGGGUAGUGGCUGACCCAGGAAUUGACGGGUCGCCGGCCUGGGAGGGUGGCCGGCCACAAUGGUACUGAGAGAGGGCGCAGACGCCUACGGGAGGCAGCAGGGGGGAAUAUGACACAAUGGUCGGAAGCCGGAGGCAGCAGCGCUGCGGGCGUGAUGACGGCCUGCGGGGUGAGAACAGCUGUCGCCUGAGACGAAGCGUGAGUGACGGUAAUGGGUAAAGAAGCACCGGCUAACUACGUG